rnacentral:lncRNA from 1 species
CCAUACCUUUCCAUUUUGUGGAUAGCCAGCAGGAGUAUUAAAAAGUCAGCCUACACCUAAAAUCACUUAUUGUACCUCUGAGAAAGAUCAUAUUAGUUGCUUUAGGUGCUGGUAGUAAAAUAUCAUUAACAUCUUACUGGUCAGUUGUAAUAUAAAUUAACUGUUAAAAAUCUUUAAAUGGGUGAAUUUUUUUUCCCCACAAAUGUUAUAUUUCAGGUAUCAGCAUAGGAAGCUCUUAAGCUUAGGUGUGUCUGUAGAUUUUAAAAUUUUUUUUAAAACUAAAUUGUAAACCAUAAGGAUGACUAGAUGGAUAUCCAUAGGACAGAGGGCAGGGCCUUCAUGGCAUAGACACUAAAUGAAAGUCAGUGUCUCAAAGAAUGUUUGCAGUUUCUAGGAGAAUGCCCUUCUUUCUUUAAAUUUGUACUUUUAUCAAUCUAGCAAAUCUUGGGACAACCAAGUUAAAGAUUUUUCUGCUGAACAAUAUUAAAUUGCUAUUUGCUCUUAUUUUUUUACCUACAAAAUUGAUGUUUUAGUCAGCUUUUUGCUGCCAUCACCAAAAGACAUGACAAGAACAAGAGGAGGAAAAGUGUAUUUUGGGGCUUAUGGUUUCAGGGGUGUCAGUCCAUAGAUGGUUGACCUCACCGUUCUGGGCCCAAGGUGAGGCAGAACAUCAUGGUGAAAGAGAGUGGCAGAUAAAACUGGCUCAGGACAUCACACCAGGGAGCAGAGUAAAAACUCCCCUCACCACUGACAAAAUAUAAACCCUAUGAGCAUGCCCCUACUGACCCUCCUCCAGGGACACACGAACAUCCAGUUGAUCCCUAUCAGAGGAUUAAUGCACCAGUUAGGUCAAGGCUCUCAUAACCCAAUCAUUUCACCUCUAAACUUUCAUACAUUGUCUCACAGAGGAGGUUUUGGGGGACACCUUAUAUCUAAACCAUAACAGACAGUUUCAUACGUUCCAACCUAAUAGCUUCUCUUGCUUAAAAAAAAAAAAGAAGAAAAGAAACUUGAUUCAUUACCUGAAGAGUUGGUAUUAGCAACUAUUUCAAAUAUUGUAAAUCUUAACUUUGGUUAUAUUUAGGAUAGUUUCAAAGAUUGACAAAAACUUAUGACAUUCAUUUUUGAAAAGCACUUUUAAAUAUUUUUCUUUUAACAAAAUUCCUUCUAGUAUCUUAUAGAAAUAGAAAUAGAAAAUUUUCUUAAAAGGUACAUUAAUAAAGUAGUAGUAUGAAAGGCAAUUUUUUUCAAAAGUUGAGAGCAUUAUAAGCUAUAAAACAGAUUAGAAAUAAUUUAUCUAGGGGCUGGGGAUGUGACUUAAGCAGUAGCGAGCUUGCCUGGCAUGCGUGCAGCCCGGGUUCGAUCCUCAGCACCACAUACAAACAAAGAUGUUGUGUCUGCCGCACACUAAUAAAUAAAUAUUUUUUAAAAAAUAAAUAAAUAAGUAAAUUGC